CCAUGUUUUCUGUAGCUCUGCUGCUGCUGUUGGCAGCUGGAUGUGUGAAGUGUGAACAGUUGACACAGCCAGCCUCUGUGACUGUGCAGCCAAGUCAACGUCUGACCAUCACCUGUCAGGUCUCUUAUUCUUUGGGCAGCUACACAGCUUGGAUCAGACAGCCUGCAGGGAAAGAACUGGAGUGGAUUGGAAUGAAAUAUACAGGAGGCUCUCACUACAAAGAUUCCCUAAAGAACAAGUUCAGUAUCGACUUAGACUCUUCCAGCAACACAGUGACUCUAAACGGACAGAAUGUGCAGCCUGAAGACACUGCUGUGUAUUACUGUGCCAGAGAUCCACAUUGAGAGACAACAACAGGAGAGCUGUACAAAAACUACUUCCUCUGUUUACCACUACCAAUGGCAAUAUUCAGUAUUAUUUGUGUUACUCUCAGUGAUGGAAAGUCUGAGUAGUGACUGAUUGAAUUUUGAAGUUCCAACC